rnacentral:rRNA from 1 species
AACGAACGCUGGCGGCGUGCCUAACACAUGCAAGUCGUGCGAGAAAGUUCCUUCGGGAGCGAGUAAAGCGGCGCACGGGUGAGUAACACGUAGGUAACCUGCCCCCCCAGUCUGGAACAACUAGAGGAAACUCUAGCUAAUGCCGGAUGAGACCACGAUCCCUUCGGGGGGUUGCGGCCAAAGAAUGGCCUCUACUUGUAAGCUAUCGCUGAGGGAUGGGCCUGCGGGCCAUUAGCUUGUUGGUGAGGUAACGGCUCACCCAAAGGCUGUGAUGGCUAGCUGGUCUGAGAGGAUGACCAGCCACACUGGGACUGAGACACGGCCCAGACUCCUACGGGAGGCAGCAGUGGGGAAUAUUGCGCAAUGGGCGAAAGCCUGACG